rnacentral:rRNA from 1 species
CCUACGGGAGGCAGCAGUGGGGAAUAUUGGGCAAUGGGCGCAAGCCUGACCCAGCAACGCCGCGUGAAGGAAGAAGGCUUUCGGGUUGUAAACUUCUUUUCUCAGGGACGAAGCAAGUGACGGUACCUGAGGAAUAAGCCAAGGCUAACUACGUGCCAGCAGCCGCGGUAAUACGUAGGUGGCAAGCGUUAUCCGGAUUUACUGGGUGUAAAGGGCGUGUAGGCGGGACUGCAAGUCAGAUGUGAAAACCAUGGGCUCAACCUAUGGCCUGCAUUUGAAACUGUAGUUCUUGAGUACUGGGGAGGCAGACGGAAUGUCUAGUGUAGCGGUGAAAUGCGUAGAUAUUAGGCGGAACACCAGUGGCGAAGGCGGUCUGCUGGACAGCAACUGACGCUGAGGCGCGAAAGCGUGGGGAGCAAACAGGAUUAGAUACCCUGGUAGUC